GAGUUUGAUCCUGGCUCAGAACGAACGCUGGCGGCAUGCCUAACACAUGCAAGUCGAACGAACUCUUCGGAGUUAGUGGCGCACGGGUGCGUAACGCGUGGGAAUCUGCCCUUGGGUACGGAAUAACUCAGAGAAAUUUGUGCUAAUACCGUAUAAUGACUUCGGUCCAAAGAUUUAUCGCCCAAGGAUGAGCCCGCGUAAGAUUAGCUAGUUGGUGGGUAAAGGCCUACCAAGGCUACGAUCUUUAGCUGGUCUGAGAGGAAGAUCAGCCACACUGGGACUGAGACACGGCCCAGACUCCUACGGGAGGCAGCAGUGGGGAAUAUUGGACAAUGGGCGAAAGCCUGAUCCAGCAAUGCCGCGUGAGUGAUGAAGGCCUAGGUUGUAAAGCUCUUUACCCGGUAUGAUAAUAGACAGUACCGGGAGGAAUAAGCUCCGGCUAACUCCGUG
rnacentral:rRNA from 1 species